rnacentral:rRNA from 1 species
UACGUAGGUGGCAAGCGUUAUCCGGAUUUAUUGGGCGUAAAGGGAACGCAGGCGGUCUUUUAAGUCUGAUGUGAAAGCCUUCGGCUUAACCGGAGUAGUGCAUUGGAAACUGGGAGACUUGAGUGCAGAAGAGGAGAGUGGAACUCCAUGUGUAGCGGUGAAAUGCGUAGAUAUAUGGAAAAACACCAGUGGCGAAAGCGGCUCUCUGGUCUGUAACUGACGCUGAGGUUCGAAAGCGUGGGUAGCAAACAGG